rnacentral:ribozyme from 13 species
CGAGGAGUUCGAGCAUUCACCUAUUACAAAUAUAUAUAUAUAUAUAAACAGGAAGAUAGACGCAUAUAAGGAGACAAAUGCCAACAUAAGAAAGGACCCCCCUCUCCGGUUCCAUCUACAGUCUCUUAUAUACUCUCUAUUUUUCUCUAUUUCUCUCACAUUAG